CCUACGGGAGGCAGCAGUGGGGAAUAUUGCACAAUGGGGGAAACCCUGAUGCAGCGACGCCGCGUGAGUGAAGAAGUAUUUCGGUAUGUAAAGCUCUGUCAGCAGGGAAGAAAAUGACGGUACCUGACCAAGAAGCCCCGGCUAACUACGUGCCAGCAGCCGCGGUAAUACGUAGGGGGCAAGCGUUAUCCGGAUUUACUGGGUGUAAAGGGAGCGUAGACGGCAGGGCAAGUCUGGAGUGAAAGGCGGGGGCACAACCCCCGGACUGCUCUGGAAACGGGCAGGCUGGAGUGCAGGAGAGGUAAGUGGAAGUCCUAGUGUAGCGGUGAAAUGCGUAGAUAUUAGGAGGAAAACCAGUGGCGAAGGCGGCUUACUGGACUGUAACUGACGUUGAGGCUCGAAAGCGUGGGGAGCAAACAGGAUUAGAUACCCGAGUAGUC
rnacentral:rRNA from 1 species